rnacentral:rRNA from 1 species
CACGUAGGGGCGAGCGUUGUCCGGAAUUACUGGGCGUAAAGGGCGCGCAGGCUGUUAUGCGAGUCUGCUGUGAAAUGUACCGGCUCAACCGGUGCCUUGCGGCGGAUACUGCAUAGCUGGAGUACUGGAGAGGGAAGUGGAAUUCCUGGUGUAGCGGUGGAAUGCGCAGAGAUCAGGAGGAAUACCGAAGGCGAAGGCAGUCUUCCAAGCCGUUAUUGACGCUCAACUGCGAAGGUGUGGGUAUCAAACAGGAUUAGA